GAUGAACGCUGGCGGCGUGCCUAAUACAUGCAAGUCGAACGAAGAUCUAGCUUGCUAGAUCUUAGUGGCGAACGGGUGAGUAAUACAUAAAUAAUCUGCCCAUAUGACUGGGAUAACUAUUGGAAACGAACGCUAAUACCGGAUAGGUUGAUUGGAGGUAGCCCUGAUUAAUUAAAGAAGGAAUUCUACACAAAUGGAUGAGUUUAUGGCGCAUUAGUUAGUUGGUGGGGUAACGGCCUACCAAGACGAUGAUGCGUAGCAGACCCGAGAGGGUGACCGGCCGCACUGGGACUGAGACACGGCCCAGACUCCUACGGGAGGCAGCAGUAGGGAAUUUUCGGCAAUGGGCGCAAGCCUGACCGAGCAACGCCGCGUGAGUGAUUAAGGCCUUCGGGUUGUAAAGCUCUGUUGUAAGGGAAGAACAUUCAGGGUAGGAAAUGAUCUUGAACUGACGGUACCAUACCAGAAAGCCACGGCUAACUACGUGCCAGCCGCCGCGGUAA
rnacentral:rRNA from 1 species